rnacentral:rRNA from 1 species
CUGUCAAAUUAAGUGCCAGCCGACGCGGUUAGACUUAAGGGCUUGUCUUUAUAAAUAAAAAGGCGUAAAGGAUGUGUAGGCCAAAUAACACUAAGAGGGUAGAUGGAAUUUUUCUGGAGCGGUAGAAUGCGAGGAUAGAAAAUAGAACUCCUAAAGUUAAAACAAUCUACCACAAUAUAGGCUGAGACAUGAAGGUGUGGGGAGCAAACAGGAUUAGAGACCCUGGUAGUCCACACAGUGAACAUUGAAGAUUAUGCUCGGCAGACCCGAAAGGUAAAAUCUUCCGCCUGAGUAGUACGAUCGCAAGAUUAAAAUUCAAAAACUUUGGCUGUUCACUACUUCGAUUAGAGGAGCGUGUAGUUUAAUUCGAUAGUCCGCGUGGAACCUCACCCUAACUUGAAUCUUGACUGGUAUUGCAUGGCCGUCGUAAGUCCGUGCGUUAAGCUAAAGGGACCCAACCCCGAUUGGGAGGAAGUCAGGUCUUAUGAUCCGAAUGUUAGGGGAUUAUAUGCGCUACAUUUUCUUAUACAAUGGGAUACUAAAAGGUGAGACCCAAAAGUAAGAGUUCGGAAGGUCGCUGCAAAUCGGCCGGAAGUUGGAUUUAAUAGUAAUCGGAAAGUAGAGCGUUCCGGUGAAUUGGUACAAGUGUUAGCACAAAUUGCCCGUCACCUUUACCUAGAAUGGUUGCUUGGACGCCUUAGUGGUUA